GAGUUUUUUCUCUUUUUUUAGUACGUGUUGCAUUUGUAUUUUGUGCAUAUUACGUUUAUUUUAUUAUUAAAGUUAUAACUAACAUCACUCUUGCCAUUUCAUUUAUAAAUUAUCCGUGAAUCGUUUAUUACCUCCAUUACAUCUCGUGCCAAGUAUUACAUUAAUUUUCAACCAGAGACAGCGUAUUAAUAUGCUUCACAUUAAACGUUGCUGGUAUCGGGCGAGUUCACGUCUUGCAGCCAACGACACCUAACAAAUAGUAAUAAUAAUCUACUAUCCAAAGCUUGUAGUGUUUGACUCUGCUCGAAGUUAACCGAUGUUGGUCGACACUCCUUAGCGAGAUUAGCCGAAGCUAUCCGAUGUCAGCCGAAGUUACUCGAACAUUUCUUGUUAUUUUCUGACAGGAAAACCAAUUGAAUCCAAUGAAAUAACAAAUUUCAGAUCUUUUAUUUUUCAAAUUGCUGAAAACGAAUUAGUAUUAUUAAUAUUAUAUUUUUUUUAAAUUUAAAUCAAUAUUCGAUAUAUAUUCCUACAUGUUUUUAUUAUUAAGUAAUGAUUAGAAACUAUUCUUCUCUGUGAUUAUAUAGAAUUCUAUGGACGAUGUUCGAUUAAAUUUUAUCGGUUGAUUUUUCAAAGCGUCUCACGCAAGGCACAAAAACGAAGGACAGGAGGAAAAUUUAUGAAUGAGACGCGAUGGAAUCAUUCGUUGGGAUCCGUUAAGCCUGCAAUUUAAUUUUGAACUCUAAAGUUCGGAUUGACUCCAUCUAAGGGUUUUAAAAACCGUUACGAAUCGACAGAUUCGUUUAAAGAAUCUAUAUUCUACGCUUGGAAUCGUUAAGGAUGGAGAUUCAAGCGUAUUCCAUAAAUGUGAAAGACUUCGUUUCAAAAGAUCUUAACGAUUAUUUGAAAAGAAAUAAUUUCGCAUUAGUUUGAAUACUUUAGAAUUAAAUGAAAAUAUUUAACUUCUUGUGAUGUUAUUUUAUUUGAAUUAUUAAAUUAUUUUUAAUAUCAGAAAUAUGUUAAAAUUUAGCAAGAUAAAUAUAUCUU